GCAGCCCAGUUUGGAAAGGACAGCAAAAGACAUUCAGCCUAUUGAAUUACCUUGCACAAUUCAACUACAUCUUGAAAAUGUGCAGGGAUGGCAAUUAACCAUAUACUUGGAGGAGAAGGCAAUGGGAAACAGUGCUUUUCUUCGUGCUUUGCUGAAGUCCUUAUAAGAAACAUCCCUGCUCUCCCUAAGUUAAGAGAAGUGAUCAGAUUUGACAACACAGAGAAGUGUCAAAAAUCGACAGCACCAGCAACUCUGUCCAUCCACUGAUCAGGCCCCAGUUUCCGUGCAACAAGAAAAAGACAUGCCACAUACAGAAAAAGGGAGACUCCUCUCAGUUUGGAUGCCAGAUAGAAAAUUGUUGUUUGAAGGAAUUUCUAUGAAUGUUUCAGACAGUCUCUGAAGUUUAAUAUUAGCAUGGAAAUAAAAAAAAAAUU